rfam:Picea glauca, whole genome shotgun sequence.
ACAUGCCUACAACAUAGAAUUAAUGCAUCGGAUCGCAUUUGAACUCCACAGUUAAGCGCACUCAGGCUAGAGUAGUACUGGGAUGGGUGACCACUC